AACUAAAUGCUGACAACAGGCUUCCUAACAGUGACUGCAAUAGAUCAGAGGUCAGAACAAGAACCUGAAGACAACCUGGAGAGAUAAAAAAUCUAAUUGUGUGAUAAUUCGAGGAGGUCCAUAUUGUGUCUCCAACAAUCACUCAAAAAAAAUACAAAGAUUCUCUUAGUACAGGUGCACUCCGCAGGACUACUUGGGGUCAUGGUCCUCCAUGUUCGGCUGUGAGUACACAAGGAAACCAUUCAAGAUUGUUUGUUAUUAAGAUCAGCUACAUAAAUUCCUAUUGACUCAGUGACAAGUUUUGUGUUUAUUUUGUAAAACAAACAUGGAGAAGCUCCCGCACAAAGAACAUACGUAUGUAUUUUGGAUGAGCUGAGAAGGAUGUCAAAAGUUGAAGCUAACAGAGCCUCAGCUUCAGGCUACUAAUAAAAUUGGAGUCCGGGCUCCAAAGGUCCUCAGUUGAGGAAAGCACAAACAACAACUUGGCCACAAAGACGAGCGAUGGGAAGCGAACAGAAAACCUCCAAGGAAGUCUAUUUUGCCAUACUGCCAGAUAAAUAUGAACCUUUGAUCGAGGACGAAGGAAGCCAGGAGACGCCAGAAGAAAGGUUGAGAAGGAAGGAGAAGAGGAAGAGGAGGAGGAAGAAGUACAUUAAGAAUGUCAAGAAGGCGUGCAGCUUCAGCUGGCGCUGCCUGGUGUAUGGCCUGCAGAGCCUAGCCGCCUCGUUCUCCACGCCGCUGUCAGUUGCCGUCGUGGUGAUGGAGCAUCGAACGAGAAGUGACCAGUGAAAGCGUGAAUGGAGCCUCACUUCCAUUUUUCCGGUCAAAUGUUUGGAAUGUAAAAUCCUACAUCACUGCAAUUUUUUUUUUUUUGUGUUUGUGAGUGUAAAGAGAUUGAUAGAUGUUGUUUUACACGAUAUUUGUUCCUGGAUUGUAUCAAAUAAAAUGUGUGUGUAAACCUUUAA